rnacentral:rRNA from 1 species
AUCGAACGCUGGCGGCAGGCCUAACACAUGCAAGUCGAGCGGAUGAGGGAAGCUUGCUUCCCGAUUUAGCGGCGGACGGGUGAGUAAUGCCUAGGAAUCUGCCUAUUAGUGGGGGAUAACGUUCCGAAAGGAACGCUAAUACCGCAUACGUCCUACGGGAGAAAGUGGGGGAUCUUCGGACCUCACGCUAAUAGAUGAGCCUAGGUCGGAUUAGCUAGUUGGUGAGGUAACGGCUCACCAAGGCGACGAUCCGUAGCUGGCCUGAGAGGAUGAUCAGCCACACUGGGACUGAGACGCGGUCCAGACACCUACGGGAGGCAGCAGUGGGGACUAUUGGACAACGGGCGAAAGCCUGAUCCCGCCAUGCCGCGUGUGUGAAGCAGGUCUUCGGAUUGUACAGCACUUUAAGUUGGGAGGAAGGGUUGUAAGCUAAUAUCUUGCAGCUUUGACGUUACCAACAGAAUCAGCACCGGCUAACUCUGUGCCAGCCGCCGCCGUAAAAC